rnacentral:rRNA from 1 species
CCGGCACGGGUGAGUAACACGUAUCCAACCUGCCGUCUACUCUUGGACAGCCUUCUGAAAGGAAGAUUAAUACAAGAUGGCAUCAUGAGUCCGCAUGUUCACAUGAUUAAAGGUAUUCCGGUAGACGAUGGGGAUGCGUUCCAUUAGAUAGUAGGCGGGGUAACGGCCCACCUAGUCUUCGAUGGGUAGGGGCUCUGAGAGGAAGGUCCCCCACAUUGGAACUGAGACACGGUCCAA